AGUCGGCCGGACAGUCGCUGUCGCGCUUGCGCGGUGGAGGAAAGUCCGGGCUCCACAGGGCAGAGUGCCAGGUAACGCCUGGGGGGCGUGAGCCCACGGAAAGUGCCGCAGAAAACAUACCGCCGAUGGCCGCUGCCCAGGCAGUGGAUCAGGUAAGGGUGAAAAGGUGCGGUAAGAGCGCACCGCGCGUCUGGCAACAGGCGUGGCAGGGUAAACCCCACUCGGAGCAAGGCCAAAUAGGAACCCCAUGGCGCGGCCCGCGUUGGGUUCGGGUAGGCCGCAAGAGGCGUGCGGUGACGCGCGUCCCAGAUGAAUGACUGUCCACGACAGAACCCGGCUUACAGGCCGACUUCA
rnacentral:RNase_P_RNA from 1 species